rnacentral:rRNA from 1 species
GACGUAGGGCGCGAGCGUUGUCCGGAUUUAUUGGGCGUAAAGAGCUCGUAGGCGGCUUGUCGCGUCGACUGUGAAAACCCGCGGCUCAACCGCGGGCCCUGCAGCCGAUACGGGCAGGCUAGAGUUCGGUAGGGGAGACUGGAAUUCCUGGUGUAGCGGUGAAAUGCGCAGAUAUCAGGAGGAACACCGGUGGCGAAGGCGGGUCUCUGGGCCGAUACUGACGCUGAGGAGCGAAAGCGUGGGGGAGCGAACAGG